AUUGAACGCUGGCGGUAGGCCUAACACAUGCAAGUCGAGCGCGAAAGUGCCUUCGGGCGCGAGUAGAGCGGCGGACGGGUGCGUAACGCGUAGGAAUCUGCCUGGUAGUGGGGGAUAACUCGGGGAAACUCGAGCUAAUACCGCAUACGCCCCACGGGGGAAAGCGGGGGACCUUCGGGCCUCGCGCUAUCAGAUGAGCCUGCGUCGGAUUAGCUAGUUGGUAGGGUAAUGGCCUACCAAGGCGACGAUCCGUAGCUGGUCUGAGAGGAUGAUCAGCCACACUGGGACUGAGACACGGCCCAGACUCCUACGGGAGGCAGCAGUGGGGAAUAUUGGACAAUGGGGGGCAACCCUGAUCCAGCCAUACCGCGUGUGUGAAGAAGGCCUUAGGGUUGUAAAGCUCUUUCAGCCGGAAAGAAAUCGCGCAGGCUAAUACUCUGCGUGGAUGACGGUACCGGAAGAAGAGCACCGGCUAAACUACGUGCCAGCAGCGCGGUAAU
rnacentral:rRNA from 1 species